ACAUCACCGCCAUCGUCAUUUUAUUUCACUUUUAUUGCAUCCAAACGGCACCAACACAAAAGCCGACAAACAGCGAAGCGCUUCUGAUCUUCGUCCGUGGCGGAUCAUCUGCGUGGAGUGCAGCCCAGCCCCCCACACCUUUCUGUUUUUUUUUUCUUGCGUUUGUGCAUGCUUGCCAUUUUCGCUCUGCCCUUUGUUUUUUUUUUGGUUGUUGUUGUUGGCUCUUCUCUCGCUCUUGCAAGAGUGUGUACCUGCCUAUCUUGUGCUCUGCACAGGGAUUCAUGUGGGUAAAUACUAGCGCAGCCGAUCACAGUACUCCGAGAGUCGGAGCUGGACGCACCAGCAUCGGGAGCUUGGCAAAUCGGUAUCCGAACGCAGCACGCACCCGAGGAUGCACGUGCGCCAAGACGCCACGUGCCCCAUUUCACAUAUGACGUGAGGUGGCUGCUGUACAGGGGGCAGCGCCGGUGUAAAUGGACGGCGUGCCGGCUUUCUGUCGCUCAAUGCCUAUUCUCUGAUCACAGGGCCUGCCCUAUGCCGGCGCUUCUUCUGAUGCCGUGCGCUUAUUCGCGUUUAUGGCUUCUAUACCCGCGCCCCUUUUGCUCUUGCGCUUCGAAUUGAUGCACUCGCCUGUAUCCACAG
rnacentral:misc_RNA from 1 species